AUUAAACGCUGGCAGCAGGCCUAACACAUGCAAGUCGAGCGGGGUUUUCGGACCUAGCGGCGGACGGGUGAGUAAUGCGUAGGAAGCUACCCGAUAGAGGGGGAUACCAGUUGGAAACGACUGUUAAUACCGCAUAAUGUCUACGGACCAAAGUGUGGGACCUUCGGGCCACAUGCUAUCGGAUGCGCCUACGUGGGAUUAGCUAGUUGGUGGGGUAAUGGCUCACCAAGGCGACGAUCCCUAGCUGGUUUGAGAGGAUGAUCAGCCACACUGGAACUGCGACACGGUCCAGACUCCUACGGGAGGCAGCAGUGGGGAAUAUUGGACAAUGGGCGCAAGCCUGAUCCAGCCAUGCCGCGUGUGUGAAGAAGGCCUUCGGGUUGUAAAGCACUUUCAGUAGGGAGGAAGCGUUGUGUGUUAAUAGUACACAGCGUUGACGUUACCUACAGAAGAAGCACCGGCUAACUCUGUGCCAGCCGCCGCCGUAAAAC
rnacentral:rRNA from 1 species